GUAACUAGAUUUAGUAACCUUUCUUCAGCCAAUUUCAGCCAAUCAGCGUGCGCUCCGGGCCAUGACGUCAUUUUCCCGCGGACCCGAUCCUUCCAUGCCAAGCUAUCUCUCCGUUCAUUUUCAAUGCGAAUUUUGGCUCUAUAUCUGCUUGGAGAACAGUUCAAAGGUCAAAAUACGUCAUAUCCGUCUUGUAGAACCCUUGUGGAAACAAGGGGAAAGCGUUGAAGCCAAUUUUGAUCGGCGAAAAACCACGAGAAUCAACAAUUUCUGGCCGGAAUGGCGGCCAAAUCGUCGGGUGACAAAAUGGACCACUGCUACCAACUGAAAAGAAGAUUCAGACUAUGUGGAAGUGACAACAACACUUACCAAUGAUGUGGUACAUCAUAUGGAGCAGUUUCUGAACCUCGUUAGGAUUGAUCCAUCUGCCAACCUAAUUAGUCUGUCACAAAUUACCUUUCUUUAUGCAAUGUUAGAUAUAAGAAUCACCUCAGUGUUGUGCUGUCAAAGAGGCAAAAGUUAAUGAAGAUACUGUAAGUUGUGUAGGGACCAUAUAAAGUUCCCUAAUUUUAUUGGUUUAUAUUUGUAUGACUACGGUCCUCAGUGUUAUAUCACCAUAAGAGGCAAAAGUUUAUGUGGAUAUGUUGUGUUAGGACUAAAUGAAGUUACCAGUA